rnacentral:lncRNA from 1 species
CAUAAUCGAAUUCGAGAAUGCAAUUUUACAAUCACUAUCUUCUUAAAAUCUUUCUUAGUGAAAGCAUUUCCUCACAAUCAUUUUCAUGAAGGAGGAAAUCUUAUGACACUUAGAUUUAAGCGGUGUAUGUGUUCCUAUCCAUGUGAAUUUGUUAAAACUAAAGUUUACGACAAAUUCAAACUCAUAUGGACUGAACUUUCUUAAUCUUGAUUUCUUGCUUUAUGGUAGCACAGCUGCCUACCAUGUCUUCCAAGUAGUUAAGCAGCUCACCCUUUCCUAUCAAUGUACCUUUCAUUGAUUAAGGUGCUUUGCCUUUUAUGCGUUCAAAAUGAGAACUCAUAGAACUCACAUGCAUAAUUAACUCGAUUGGAUUGGCACAGAAUCAAAAUAAUGUCAACACGAUAGGUUGUAAACCUCAACUCGUGUGUUAGUGAUGAUUCAUAAGGUUUAUUUGAUUUGUUCUUGAAACCUUUCAAGACCAUUAAGACUCCCACUGACUCUUUGACAUAUAAGAUUCUCUUGUCAAAACCAUUUCUUGACAAACAAAUAUUCAAGAGUUAGUGUAGCUUUUAUCAAAACUCUUCAUAAGGUUUAUUUGAUUUGUUCUUGAAACCUUUCAAGACCAUUAAGACUCCCACUGACUCUUUGACAUAUAAGAUUCUCUUGUCAAAACCAUUUCUUGACAAACAAAUAUUCAAGAGUUAGUGUAGCUUUUAUCAAAACACUUCAUAAAUUGGUCCUAGUUGGUCUUUGUCUUAUCCAAGACAUCACAACUUUCCACAUUUAAUGAAAGUUACAAACCUUCUUAAUACCUUUCACUCAAUGUCACAAUCUUAACUUUAAGAUUUGUUAUUGGAACGAAGUAUGAUUGACUUAUUGAUUUAACCAUUUCUUCAAUUCUUGAUUCCUCUUCUUAGACAUACAAUUGUACUAAGACUCACUUAGAGGAUCAAUUGAGAUAUGGUUCUUAAUCAUUAAGACCUAUCAUAAAGCAUAAAAGG